UGGGGAAUAUUGGACAAUGGGGGAAACCCUGAUCUAGCAAUGCCGCGUGAGUGAAGAAGGCCUUAGGGUUGUAAAGCUCUUUCGCCCGCGAAGAUAAUGACGGUAGCGGGAGAAGAAGCCCCGGCUAACUCCGUGCCAGCAGCCGCGGUAAUACGGAGGGGGCUAGCGUUGUUCGGAAUUACUGGGCGUAAAGCGUACGUAGGCGGAUGCGCAAGUUGGGGGUGAAAUCCCGGGGCUUAACCUCGGAAUUGCCCUCAAAACUGCACGUCUUGAGACCGAGAGAGGUAAGGGGAAUUCCUAGUGUAGAGGUGAAAUUCGUAGAUAUUAGGAAGAACACCAGUGGCGAAGGCGCCUUACUGGCUCGGUACUGACGCUGAGGUACGAAAGCGUGGGGAGCAAACA
rnacentral:rRNA from 1 species